rnacentral:tRNA from 1 species
GGGGGUAUGGCUCAGUGGUAGAGUGUGUGCUUAGCAUGUGUGAGGUCUUGGGUUCAAUAUUCAGUACCUCCA